AUGCUCAUAAAUUUAGUUGAUGCAGUGCUUCAGUAUCCCUUGAGUAUUCUUAAGUUGACAAUUCUCAAAUGUGUGGUCGUUAGGAGCACUGUCACUGUUGUUCGCUGGAAGGUGCCCGUCGCCCGCGCUGCCUCCAGGGGGGCGGCUCGGGCGAACCCUAGCCGCCGCCGCCCCCGACUCUCCUCUCCCCGCCGCCGCCGGAGGAGGCCGGCGAGCGAAGCUCACUUGGCUGACGGCGGUGGCGGGCUCGCCUGCGUUCCUUGCGAGGAGGCCUCCGGCUGCGGCGCGACGGCGCCCCUGGGCGUCCGACGGCGCGGUGGAUGCGGGAUGCUGGGGCGGCGGCCCCAGGGGACUCCGGCGGUGGCUGUGCCGCCACGGCUGCAGGGGCAGCGUGGGGGGCGGCCUUGGCGGCUGGUGGCGACGGAUCUCGGGCAUCCGACCCAGAUCCGGUUUCCUCCGGGUGGUGUGGGCUCGGGCGCCGACCGGCGGCCCCGAGCGGUGGUGGUUGCGCGCCUGGGUUGCUCCCUUUUCCGGCGUGGUUGA
rnacentral:rRNA from 1 species